CCCUAGUUGAAGGUCUUGGCC
rnacentral:miRNA from 1 species